UGCACGGUGGCACAGUUGGUAGCACUAUUGCCUUGCAGCACGAAGGUCCUGGGUUCGACUUCCCAGCGGGGGUCUUUCUGCAU